AAUCCAUAGGUUAAUGAGGCGAACCGGGGGAACUGAAACAUCUAAGUACCCCGAGGAAAAGAAAUCAACCGAGAUUCCCCCAGUAGCGGCGAGCGAACGGGGAGGAGCCCAGAGCCUGAAUCAGCAUGUGUGUUAGUGGAAGCGUCUGGAAAGGCGCGCGAUACAGGGUGACAGCCCCGUACACAAAAGCGCAUGUGCUGUGAGCUCGAUGAGUAGGGCGGGACACGUGGUAUCCUGUCUGAAUAUGGGGGGACCAUCCUCCAAGGCUAAAUACUCCUGACUGACCGAUAGUGAACCAGUACCGUGAGGGAAAGGCGAAAAGAACCCCGGCGAGGGGAGUGAAAAAGAACCUGAAACCGUGUACGUACAAGCAGUGGGAGCACCCUUUUGGGUGUGACUGCGUACCUUUUGUAUAAUGGGUCAGCGACUUAUAUUCUGUAGCAAGGUUA
rnacentral:rRNA from 1 species